GCUGGCGUAGCUCAAUUGGUAGAGCAGCUGAUUUGUAAUCAGCAGGUUGGGGGUUCGAGUCCCUUCGCCAGCU
rnacentral:tRNA from 1 species